AGUAUGUAUUAAAAGAUGACCUUGCAUUCCUCAUCCUCCUGCCUCAACCUCUCCAAUACUGGAAUUUCAGGCAUGUACCUCACAUGUGUGUGUGUGUGUGUGUGUGUUUGUCUAUGUGUGUGUGUGUGUGUGUGUGUGUCUAUGUGUGUGUGUGUGUGUCUGUGUGUGUGUGUGUCUGUGUGUGUGUUUUGCCUGAUUGUAUGUCUGUACCAUGUGCAUGCCUGGUACCUGAGGACUCCAGAAGAGGAUAUUGGAUCCCUUGGAACUGGAUUUACAAUUGUGAGCCGCCACGUAGGUGCCGGGAAGGUGGAAGAGCAGCAGCGUCUCUAAACUCCUGAGCUACCAUAGUGGGUUGGAUAAGAAUGGCCCUCAUAGGUUCGUAGGUUUGAAUACUUAGGGAUUGGGAGGUUUGGCCUUGUAGGAGUAGGUCUGACUUUGUAGGAGGAAGUGUAUCACUAGGGAUAGAUAGCCUUUGAAGUUUCAAAAGCCCAAGCCAUACCCACUGUCUCUCUCAUCCUGCUGACUACAGGUCCCCAUAAAGAACUCUCAGACUCUUAGCCAGCCCCAGGUCUGCCUGCAUUCAGCCAUGUUCCCCCCACCCCCCAUCGUGGACUACAGCUCUGAAACUGUAAUAAGUAACAAUUAAAUGCUUUCUUUUAUGAGA
rnacentral:lncRNA from 1 species